AACGUACGCUGGCGGCACGCCUAACACAUGCAAGUCGAACGCAGUAGCAAUACUGAGUGGCAGACGGGUGAGUAACAUGUGGGAAUCUGCCUUGUGGUUCAGGACAACAUUGGGAAACCGAUGCUAAUACUGGAUAAGCCCUUACGGGGAAUGUUUUAAUGCCAUAAGAUGAGCCCGCAUUUGAUUAGUUAGUUGGUGAGGUAAUGGCUCACCAAGACAAUGUUCAAUAGCUGAUCUGAGAGGAUGAUCAGCCACACUGGGACUGAGACACGGCCCAGACUCCUACGGGAGGCAGCAGUGGGGAAUCUUGCACAAUGGAGGAAACUCUGAUGCAGCGAUGCCGCGUGAGUGAAGAAGGCCUUUGGGUUGUAAAGCCCUUUUGUAGGGGAAGAUAAUGACUGUACCCUAAGAAUAAGGUCCGGCUAACUUCGUGCCAGCAGCCGCAGUAA
rnacentral:rRNA from 1 species